rnacentral:rRNA from 1 species
GACGAACGCUGGCGGCGUGCUUAACACAUGCAAGUCGAACGGAAAGGCCCUGCUUUUGUGGGGUGCUCGAGUGGCGAACGGGUGAGUAACACGUGAGUAACCUGCCCUUGACUUUGGGAUAACUUCAGGAAACUGGAGCUAAUACCGGAUAGGAUCUCCUGCUGCAUGGUGGGGGUUGGAAAGUUUCGGCGGUUGGGUAUGGACUCGCGGCUUAUCAGCUUGUUGGUGGGGUAGUGGCUUACCAAGGCUUUGACGGGUAGCCGGCCUGAGAGGGUGACCGGACAAAUGGGGACUGAGAUACGGACCAGAAUCCAACGGGAGGCAGCAGUGGGGAAUAUUGCAAAAUGGGCGGAAGCCUGAUGCAGAAACGCAGCGUGCGGGAUGAAGGCCUUCGGGUUGUAAACCGCUUUCGCCUGUGACGAAGCGUGAGUGACGGUAAUGGGUAAAGAAGCACCGGCUAACUACGUG